UACGAAGGGGGCUAGCGUUGCUCGGAAUUACUGGGCGUAAAGGGCGCGUAGGCGGGUCGUUAAGUUGGGGGUGAAAGCCCGGGGCUCAACCUCGGAAUUGCCUUCAAUACUGGCGACCUUGAGUGUGAGAGAGGUGUGUGGAACUCCGAGUGUAGGGGUGAAAUUCGUAGAUAUUCGGAAGAACACCAGUGGCGAAGGCGACACACUGGCUCACUACUGACGCUGAGGCGCGAAAGCGUGGGGAGCAAAC
rnacentral:rRNA from 1 species